AACGAACGCUGGCGGCAUGCCUAACACAUGCAAGUCGAACGAGACCUUCGGGUCUAGUUUCGCACGGGUGCGUAACGCGUUGGAACCUGCCCUUAGGUUCGGAAUAACUCCCCGAAAGGGGUUCUAAUACCGGAUAAUGUCUUCGGACCAAAGAUUUAUCGCCUUUGGAUGGGCGCGCGUUGGAUUAGCUAGUUGGUAGGGUAAAUGCCUACCAAGGCGACGAUCCAUAGCUGGUCUGAGAGGAUGAUCAGCCACACUGGGACUGAGACACGGCCCAGACUCCUACGGGAGGAAGCAGUGGGGAAUAUUGGACAAUGGGCGAAAGCCUGAUCAAGCAAUGCCGCGUGAGUUAUGAAGGCCUUAGGGUUGUAAAGCUCUUUUAGCCGGGAUGAUAAUGACGGUAGCGGGAGAAGAAGCUCCGGCUAACUACGUG
rnacentral:rRNA from 1 species